GACGAACCGUGCGAACGUUAUUCGGAAUCACUGGGCUUAAAGGGCGCGUAGGCGGGCUGUCAAGUCUGCGGUGAAAGCCUCCAGCUUAACUGGAGAAGUGCCGUGGAUACUGGUGGCCUCGAGGAAGGUAGGGGCAUCUGGAACGUUGGGUGGAGCGGUGAAAUGCGUUGAUAUCCAACGGAACUCCGGUGGCGAAGGCGAGGUGCUGGACCUUUUCUGACGCUGAUGCGCGAAAGCCAGGGGAGCGAACGGG
rnacentral:rRNA from 1 species